ACGUAGGGUGCGAGCGUUAAUCGGAAUUACUGGGCGUAAAGCGUGCGCAGGCGGUUUUGUAAGUCGGAUGUGAAAUCCCCGGGCUCAACCUGGGAACUGCGUUCGAAACUGCAAGGCUAGAGUGUGUCAGAGGGGGUAGAAUUCCACGUGUAGCAGUGAAAUGCGUAGAGAUGUGGAGGAAUACCAAUGGCGAAGGCAGCCCCCUGGGAUAACACUGACGCUCAUGCACGAAAGCGUGGGGAGCAAACAGGAUUAGAUACCCUGGUAGUCCACGCCCUAAACGAUGUCAACUAGUUGUUGGUAGAGUAAAAUCUAUGAGUAACGUAGCUAACGCGUGAAGUUGACCGCCUGGGGAGUACGGUCGCAAGAUUA
rnacentral:rRNA from 1 species